rnacentral:hammerhead_ribozyme from 1 species
AUCCAGUUGUCGAGUCCCAAAUAGGACGAAACGCGCAUCCUGGAU